AUUGAACGCUGGCGGCAGGCCUAACACAUGCAAGUCGAGCGGAGCGGCGGACGGGUGAGUAAUGCCUAGGAAUCUGCAUGGUCGUGGGGGAUAACGUCCGGUAACGGGCGCUAUUACCGCAUUCUCUCAGAUUCGCCUUGGUCGGAUUAGCUAGUUGGUGGGGUAAAGGGCUACCAAGGCGACGAUCCGUAACUGGUCUGAGAGGAUGAUCAGUCAAACUGGAACUGAGACACGGUCCAGACUCCUACGGGAGGCAGCAGUGGGGAAUAUUGGACAAUGGGCGAAAGCCUGAUCCAGCCAUGCCGCGUGUGUGAAGAAGGUCUUCGGAUUGUAAAGCACUGUAAGUUGGGAGGCGUUACCAACAGAAUAAGCACCGGCUAACUUCGUGCCAGCAGCCGCGGUAAUUC
rnacentral:rRNA from 1 species